UUUAUGUACAAACAAGGCACUAUUUUAACACACAAACACACACACGGAUACAGAUACACACAACCGCUGUACAGAGAGAAAGAAAAAGAGCAAUAGACACAGAGAGAGAAAGAGAGAGGCAAUGUAUUUUAAUUGCGUUCGUUGGAGGUAGCGGGGGCCGGCCGAGGGGAGGGUGGAGGCACACAGCGGGUCACACUCUCUGUGUAUAUGUAUGUGUGCCUAUGUGUGUGUGUGUGUAUUAUUUUUUGCGAUGAACUCACUUGUGCGCAUCCCACCAUGGAACACACACAACAAAACCAACAACAACAACAACUACUACCACAGAGCAACGAGCUCUGAUACACAUUGAAUAGUGGGAAGGCUGAGCGUGGAGAGGGAGGAGUAGGUGUUGGUGUUUGUGGUGGUGGUGCAAGCAGCACACCCACCCAAUACACCGACCGACCGACCAACCACUUGCACUUGCCUCUCUCACCCACUCCCUUACGAGCGCUCUCUUUCUCACUCUCGCGCUCUCCCUCACUGAUUGAGUAGUUCUCCCGCCCCCACCACACACACACACACAAACGCACUCUGGAACACACUUUGUAUGUGUGUGUGUGUGUGUGUGUGCCCAGUGCUUGCUCUCUUCGGCACGCACAAUUGACUCUUUCUGCGUAUUGAAAUGGCAAGGACAUCUGCUGGAUUAAAUUACUACGCGCGUUUUCAAUUGAACAACAAUCACGGAAAAAAAUAGCAGAAUAUACUGUGGAAUAGAGCUGCGUUUGCCUAGCUAUAACUGACUGCCUGACUGUUUGACGAUGCUUGCUGCUAAAAAGUAAAAGAUACAAAACACACACACACACACACAUGGAGAAGCAAGCACACGCGACUCGGCGCUCUCACAAAAUGUUUGCAGGAGCGGACAGCGCAUUUGAGAGAGAGAGAGAGAGGAGAGAGAAGCGUUCUCUCUCCGCUUUUGAAGUUCAUGCCCAGUGGAUGUGGGGGCUUUUUGGCGUUACCAGAUUGUUGGUCAAUUCAACUGUUUAUGUACCCUAACACAAUGUGGGAUAUACCCAAUUCAUUCAAACACUUUGCAAGUUGGGGGAAUAUACAUACUUUUAUAUAUACUUUUGACCAAGCAAGUUUAAAUUGAACCAUUUAAUAUAAUUGUAAGAUCGUAUAUUCAUAUUUAAACUACAUUAUAAUAUGGAAUAAAAAAUAAAAC